GACGAACGCUGGCGGCGUGCUUAACACAUGCAAGUCGAACGGAAAGGCCCCUUUGGGGGUCCUCGAGUGGCGAACGGGUGAGUAACACGUGAGUAACCUGCCCUUGACUUCGGGAUAACUUCAGGAAACUGGGGCUAAUACCGGAUAGGAAUCCUUGCUUCAUGGUGGGGGUUGGAAAGCUUCGGCGGUUUUGGAUGGACUCGCGGCUUAUCUGCUUGUUGGUGGGGUAGUGGCUUACCAAGGCUUUGACGGGUAGCCGGCCUGAGGGGGCGACCGGCCACAUUGGGACUGAGAGACGGCCCAGACUCCUACGGGAGGCAGAAGUGGGGAAUAUUGCACAAUGGGCGGAAGCCUGAUGCAGCAACGCCGCGUGCGGGAUGACGGCCUUCGGGUUGUAAAACGAUUUCAGCAGGGGCGAAGCUUGUGGUGACGGUACCUGCAGAAGAAGCACCGGCUAACUACGUG
rnacentral:rRNA from 1 species